AAUUCCUUUCACGUUUAUUUCAGUUUUGUUUCUUAAAAGUUCCAAAAGAAUGUGAUAAAGUCUUUAACAACUGCAACUGUUUCAAAACUGAUGACCCUAAAGUUUUAAAUUGUCUCUAAAUAUAACUGCGUUUACUGUAAACAGCGAGGCAGAUGUAAGGACGGAAUUGGUUUACAGAGAGACAACUUUUCACAGCGAAAUAAGACAUUUGCCAAUAGUUUAUGGUUCUAAAACAGAUCUGGUUGUAGUGUAUGCCAAUGGUCAAGUUAUUCACUUUCAGCAGACUGAUGUCUCAAUCAAUGAUACACAAGUGACAAUAGUGUCGGUGUGUCGUGAAAAUGUUGCUCAUAAUUGUAAACAACAGCUGACAGACUUGGAGACUGGAACGCUAGUAGAAUCUGGGAAAGAAAUGGUUGUAAACAAUACAAACAUUAAAGGCAGAUCAAAUUUUAAACUGACAUACUCUGUUUGCAAUAUUGAAAGAAACAUUUCAUUUUCAAUUACUACGGAUAAAACAAACGACAAUUUGCAUUUGACAACAGAAGAUGAUCCAGAAGUGACUAUAUCAUUAUCGGCCUUUAUCUUGACAUUAGUAAUAGUGAUUUGUUUUG
rnacentral:sRNA from 1 species